rnacentral:rRNA from 1 species
UAGAUUGAACGCUGGCGGCAGGCCUAACACAUGCAAGUCGAACGGUAACAGGAAGAAGCUUGCUUCUUUGCUGACGAGUGGCGGACGGGUGAGUAAUGUCUGGGAAACUGCCUGAUGGAGGGGGAUAACUACUGGAAACGGUAGCUAAUACCGCAUAACGUCGCAAGACCAAAGAGGGGGACCUUCGGGCCUCUUGCCAUCGGAUGUGCCCAGAUGGGAUUAGCUUGUUGGUGGGGUAACGGCUCACCAAGGCGACGAUCCCUAGCUGGUCUGAGAGGAUGACCAGCCACACUGGAACUGAGACACGGUCCAGACUCCUACGGGAGGCAGCAGUGGGGAAUAUUGCACAAUGGGCGCAAGCCUGAUGCAGCCAUGCCGCGUGUAUGAAGAAGGCCUUCGGGUUGUAAAGUACUUUCAGCGGGGAGGAAGGGAGUAAAGUUAAUACCUUUGCUCAUUGACGUUACCCGCAGAAGAAGCACCGGCUAACUCCGUGCCAGCAGCCGCGGUAAUACGGAGGGUGCAAGCGUUAAUCGGAAUUACUGGGCGUAAAGCGCACGCAGGCGGUUUGUUAAGUCAGAUGUGAAAUCCCCGGGCUCAACCUGGGAACUGCAUCUGAUACUGGCAAGCUUGAGUCUCGUAGAGGGGGGUAGAAUUCCAGGUGUAGCGGUGAAAUGCGUAGAGAUCUGGAGGAAUACCGGUGGCGAAGGCGGCCCCCUGGACGAAGACUGACGCUCAGGUGCGAAAGCGUGGGGAGCAAACAGGAUUAGAUACCCUGGUAGUCCACGCCGUAAACGAUGUCGACUUGGAGGUUGUGCCCUUGAGGCGUGGCUUCCGGAGCUAACGCGUUAAGUCGACCGCCUGGGGAGUACGGCCGCAAGGUUAAAACUCAAAUGAAUUGACGGGGGCCCGCACAAGCGGUGGAGCAUGUGGUUUAAUUUGAUGCAACGCGAAGAACCUUACCUGGUCUUGACAUCCACAGAACUUUCCAGAGAUGGAUUGGUGCCUUCGGGAACUGUGAGACAGGUGCUGCAUGGCUGUCGUCAGCUCGUGUUGUGAAAUGUUGGGUUAAGUCCCGCAACGAGCGCAACCCUUAUCCUUUGUUGCCAGCGGUCCGGCCGGGAACUCAAAGGAGACUGCCAGUGAUAAACUGGAGGAAGGUGGGGAUGACGUCAAGUCAUCAUGGCCCUUACGACCAGGGCUACACACGUGCUACAAUGGCGCAUACAAAGAGAAGCGACCUCGCGAGAGCAAGCGGACCUCAUAAAGUGCGUCGUAGUCCGGAUUGGAGUCUGCAACUCGACUCCAUGAAGUCGGAAUCGGUAGUAAUCGUGGAUCAGAAUGCCACGGUGAAUACGUUCCCGGGCCUUGUACACACCGCCCGUCACACCAUGGGAGUGGGUUGCAAAAGAAGUAGGUAGCUUAACCUUCGGGAGGGCGCUUACCACUUUGUGAU